UACAGAGGUCCCAAGCGUUGUUCGGAUUCAUUGGGCGUAAAGGGUGUGUAGGUGGCGCCGUAAGUCGGGUGUGAAAUUUCGGAGCUUAACUCCGAAACUGCAUUCGAUACUGCGGUGCUUGAGGACUAGAGAGGAGACUGGAAUUCAUGGUGUAGCAGUGAAAUGCGUAGAGAUCAUGAGGAAGACCAGUGGCGAAGGCGGGUCUCUGGACAGUUCCUGACACUGAGACACGAAGGCCAGGGGAGCAAACGGG
rnacentral:rRNA from 1 species